GCGAAAGUGGUGUAAGGCGAACAUCGCUGCCCGGAAAGCAGAAGAUGCGGGUUCGAGUCCCGCCUGCCGCA
rfam:Heligmosomoides polygyrus genome assembly, scaffold: HPBE_scaffold0003896